ACGCUGACAACGUUCUUUCGUCAUUGUCAGACAAAUCAGUCCCCGCCCGUGUGUUGCCAUAAAAUUGAUCGCUUCAGGUGUGACAUGCUCUGCGGCAAUAAUCA
rnacentral:antisense_RNA from 1 species